CGGCAUUUAAAAUAAACCAGGCGAUAACUGGGCCUACCAAAAGGUCCUUCGAGUAGAAUGGUAUAAAUAUGACCCGUUUCCUCGUGGUCGGUCUCAUUGAAUGUAGGAAGUGUGUCGGUGCGGGCAGAUGCUUGCAGUGCCGCCACCGAAGGCGUCCAAGUUUCACAGAUGAAUGUUUGAGAUUCUCAACAGGAGGGCGGCAGUCAACAAGAUCGGUGAAUUUGUAUUCGUUUCAAAAUGGUGACCUGUUUAAAGAAACAAAAAAAAGAUGCUUUCUACACCUCCUGGCCAGACAUCUCAUUCAUUCCACAUUGCUUUCCUCCUUCCUCAACCUUGUGCGCUAGGCACAGACCACAGAAGUAACCCUACGCCCUUUACCAAUGAAGGUGGCCCAGUCAGAAUCUCUUUCCAUGCGGAUGGGUACAGCAAAACUUCACAGUGGGAUGGAGCAGGUAAUAGAGCCAGGCAUGGGCCGACGAGUCUCUGAGGCGUUUGGGUCUCCCUCACAGGAGGUGGCAGUGAGCGGUUGUGUCAAAGGACAAGGGGGGGCUUGGGAGGCGAGGCAACUACUGAGCAACACAAAGCCAUGGGGGCGAGGGAGACUUGGGGGGGGCGCUAGCCGCAGAGAAGGAGCGGGGCAGAUUGUGUAGAAAGCAUUCUGGAUAAAUAACAAAUCGACUGUAUCUUUUUUUUUCUUCUCCAUGUUUAAACAGUAGCUGGAAGACAGAGAUUGUUUAGAACUUUUUGAAUUCUUUCUUCUUCUCUUUUUUUUUUUAGUAGUAGGAUUAGGAUGAUCACGUGUUUCACUGUCCUUGCUGUCAUCACAUUGAGAAACCAGCUUGCAAGAAUAAAAAAUGGUGAGGAAACGAAUCCUCAA
ensembl:lncRNA